UGUCAAGUCAGUAUGUCCCUUAUGCUCAGGGCUACACACGUGUUACAAUGGUUGGUACAGAGGGUCGCGAAGCCGCAAGGUGGAGCCAAUCCCCCAAAACCAACCCCAGUUCGGAUUGGAGUCUGCAACUCGACUCCAUGAAGCAGGAAUCGCUAGUAAUCGUGGAUCAGAACGCCACGGUGAAUACGUUCCCGGGUCUU
rnacentral:rRNA from 1 species